rnacentral:lncRNA from 1 species
AAAUAUAAUUUUUGUUUAAUUAGAUCAAAUAAUAUAUUAAUUAAUAUUUAGAUGAUUAAAAUAAAAAAUUUUAUUAAAUAUUAUUAUAAUUUAAUUUUUUGGUUAAAUUUAUUCAAUAUAAAAUUUUUAAAAAAUUGACCAACCCAAAAGGUAGAAAAACUAGUCAAAGAUGAAAACAAGUCUUUAAUUUUCAGAAAAAUAAGCUUCAAAAAUGAUAAAUUACUUUUAACUUUUAAUAAUCAAGAUUUUUAAUUUUUAACUUUGUUUUAAAUGGAUAAUUAAAAAAUAUAAAUAAUAAAACAUAAAAGGUCUUUGAAAAAAACUCUAACACACCCAAUAUGUAACACCAAACCCAAAAGUUCCUUUGUUUAAAAAUAUUCACUUUGAAAAAUCAUAAAUAAAUCAAUAAAUAAAUAAAAUCACAAUCAAUAAAAAUAAAUUUAAAUAUUAAUAUAUAAUUUAUAAAUAUUUUUUUAAAGUUAAAUUGAGGGAAUCUAUUACAAGUUUCAAACUUUAUGGAGGUAAUUAUAAUUUAUUAAAUGUCAAGAUUUUUUUGUGGUUAUUCCAUAACCUAGGGGAGGUCAGUGUAAAUUUACCCAAAAUAAAAUUACACUCCCCUGGUUCUCUUCUUCCCCAAUCCGUUUAUUCAGCCUAGUAGAGAGAGACGUCUUGCUGAGGUUUUUCACCACCAAAAACGACGUUAUGCUUUCUUCCCAAGAGGUCAACAAUGGUCUUUCAUCACAGCGGAGCAACCGCUUCACACUGACGGGGGUAACCCCCUGUCCGUCCUAUGUUCGCUAUGGUAUGGAGUUCGAAGACGGUCCAAGAAGAAAUCAUGGAGAAAAAAAGUAAAGCCAAACCUAGAGAAGAGCAUAACACGGAGAAAAAUCUUUAUCCUCAUCAAAUCCGGGAGCAACUCCAAACCCAAACAAGGGUGUUUAGGCUUCCUGACUAAUAGCCCCAGACUAUUGGCCCUGGAUAAUAAUGUCGCUACUUGAUCCCCGGAUAUAUUGUGUAGCCGUUUGUUUUGCGUUCCGGACAAACUCCUAGAUAGUGUAUCCAGUCUUGUCUACCACACACCCAUGUGCUUUGCUAAGCAAUCGGACUGGACAAAUGCAGGAAAUGAUUCAACAUACCCUUUCCAUUUAGCAGUUUUAUUUCUUUUUGGAUAAACAGCUUUCUUUUUAAAAAUUAACCGUUUUCUGAAAAAUUUUUUUAUAAAAUAUUUAAUAAAGAAAUCAUCUCAAAAAAUAAUUUUGAAAUAUAUAUUUUAUUGAAAAUAGUUUUCAUAAAUAUAAUAUUUUUCUUUUAUAGUAUUUAUUUAAUAUUUUUUUACUAAUAUUCAAUAAAUAAAUUUUUAAAUUAAGUGAUAUUUUAACUAUUUUCAUUAAAAAUUUAAACUUUUUUGAAUUUCCCUCUUAACGAGAUAAGACUGAAAAUGUAAAUUUUUUUUAUUUCAUUUUUGAAAAUCUUUUUGUAAAAAUUAUUAUUUUGUUUAAAAAUAUUUUUUUAAAAGCUCCCUUUCAAUUUUUUUAUAACAGAAAAUUUGUUAUAUUUUUUCCAAACUUGUUCUCAAUAAAAUAAUAUUCAAAUUAUUUUGUUUAAUAUUUUUUGAUUAAUAUUUUUAAAAAAAAUAUUUUUUAAGAAAAUAAUUAAUUUUUCAAAAAAAAACUUUGUUUAUUCCAAAAAAAACUGAUAAAAAAAAAAUAAUUUAAUAAAAAAAUAAAAAAUUCAUAAAACAUAGAAAAAAAAAAUAAAAAAAAAAAGAAAGAUGAAGGGGAGAGCAAGGGAAGAGAAAUUAUUCAAUGUAUAAAGGGCACAUUGUAAGUUUACAUAUUACUCCGAUUUAGGCUUAGUUUGGGGACAACUAGUCCCCCUCCCCCGGGACAGAUAGUCCCAGGUAUGGGGGACUAUUAUAGUCCCCGGUCGGACUAUUGUCCGGUCGAACUAUUUGUUCGAACUCAAUUUUUAUAAACAAACACAGGACUGGACUGGACUCACUGUCCAGUCCGGCCUAAUCCGGUGAAACAAACAUGGCCUUAAGACUACCAUAAAGGGGGGCCCAAGCCCAGUGGUAAUCCCAAUAAUAACACCGGUAAUUUCCAUUGCAUACCCUCCAAUUUUCACGCAAAUUUAACUUUGGUCUAUCAUAUUUUAAUUUAAGCAUAUUUAAUCUAAAUUGCAGAGAUGGUUGCAAUGUGGACAGAGCGUCAACAUUCGUUAAAAUUUGUGAACAAAAAUUGCUAUAUAUACCAUGUCAUAUGACCUAUAUACAAAGGCAAAAAAAUAAUUUUCUAAUUUUUUUUAAAUAAAAUUAAUUUUUUUUUCAACUUUAGUGAACUUCUAUUCAAAUUAGAUUAAGAUUUUUAUACUUUCAGACUCCUCAAAAAAAAAAAAAAAAAAUUGGAUUAAACAGUAAAAAAAUAUACUAAAGAUGAAUAAUCUUGAAAAUCAAAGUACAUAAAAAAAAAAACCUACUCAAAAUAAGGCCUUAAAAUAAAAAGUAGAUUAUUAUGAAGAAUUGAAAUUAAUUUUAUGAAAUCACUAGUUAAAUAUUAUUUAGUUAUAUAAAUUGAAACUUGAUACCACUUAAUGUUAUGUUAGGAAAAUGACUAUUACCAUUGAUUUUUAUUCUGAAAACUCAGUUACUUGCAAAAAAUUUUUAAACUAUUUCGAUAAAUAACGUACAUCAUGUUAAAAAUAUUAAAUAGUUUUGAAUUCAAAACUCCUCCAUGCAUUCUAAAAUUUUAAACUGUUCUAAUUGUGAUAUUGAAAUUAUGGUGUUUAUAAUUUUUUCAUAUAAUUAUUUUUUACCACUGUUUUUGAAAAGAAUCUUAUAUUUAUAUGAUUGAAAACUCAAUGUUAUAGUCAUAUUGUGUGAUGCAGUACUAUUGUUUUUUACAAAUCUAACGGGGGUAGACGAAAAGUUCAUAUUAUGUUUUCAAAGUUUAGGAUUUAAUAUGGAAAAAUGAAAGUUACUCUGACAACAAAUCUCUCUCUCUCUCUGGAUUCAGGGUUCUACCAUGGUUUAAACCCUUCAUCGGCUCCCAUCGAUUUCCUAUCAUAGUGAGCCCAAGAAUCAAUCUUAUGGACCCUAGAACUCUCUGGUCAGCAUGGUCUCUAUCUGAUUUUGUGCAAUUGUUUCGUCUUUUCAAAUCCCUCUAAAUUUAGUGUUUCUCCGUUGAAAGAUUUCAUUUUGAAGCCAUGAUUCAUCAUCGAACUGCGAUUUCUUUGAAAUCUAUGAAAAUAGUUGGUCGUUGAAUAUGGGCGAUGGAACGUGCUCGAUGUAAUUCGGGGGUUGGAAGAAUUGGGGUGUUAAUUGUAGUCUCGCUCGCUCGGGAGAUUGCUCAAUAUGUUGUUGAAACUGAGAAAAUUUCAUCUGUGCAUUCGAUUCCGGAUUUUGUGGUCAUUAAAUACCAAAAGCAAACACUAAGGCUCCGUUGUUUUGAAAUCUCCAAGCAUUUCAAAUCCUAUAUUUGGAUAAUUUUUUUUCCUUGAAAAGAUUUCCUAUUUUGGGAAGAGAGAGAACAAGAGAAGAAGAUGAGGGUGAAGUAUUGGAGGCAAAGUUGAAAUGGGUAGGGAGGUGAAGGGUAUAGUCAAAUAACACCUAUUUGAAGUUAUUUUGAAAUUCCUUCAUUUUGGAAUAUCCUUGAUUUCAAAUCAUUUGUUGAAUUCGAUCCAAAUAGAGCCUAAGAUUUGCGGAAUAAACAUCAUGCAUCCAACAUAUUUGCCCGCAACUCGUGAUCCCCAGACCUAUUCACGAAUGUUUAUUGAAAAUGAGAGAUAAGUUGGUACUCGAAUGCAUAAAAUUGAGGCUGGCAUAGGGCAAAAGGAAGGUGGAAUCCUUGUUGAGUUUGUGCUGUUUUGGAACAUAUGUGCCAAGGAUUAGUCACCAGUCACAUCUAACCAUAUCAACCAUACACACAAGACAAGAUUUACGUGGUUCGGCCAACAAUACCUACGUCCACAGAGAGGAACUGAUAAUUCACUACGUCCACAGAAAAGGAAACUGUAAUUUCACUAUCUCAGGAUGAAUUACAAUGAAUACAAAGGAGGAGAUCACACUCAACUCACUCAAUCAUCUCAAUCUCAGUCUUGCUCUUUUCUCUCACAGCCACUCUUCAUCUUGUACCUUUACAGAAUAUCCCUUCUACCCCCCUCUUCCUCGUGAACCCUCUCAAUUUAUAGGACACAGAGAAGAGGAUGAGCUCAUGGGCCUAAGCUCAUUCAUGCCUCCAUUCUUGACAAACAAUGGGGGGGUGGGGAGGAGGGAGGGAGCCUCAAUCGCGACUUCUUUCUGGCCGCAUCAACAACUUCUCUCUCUACCUUCUUUCUUCUCCCUUUCCAUUUGCAUCAGAAGGAAAAGAAGGAUAAAUUGGUCAUGGGCCUCUCUAUGGGUUGGGCUUCUUCUUAGGCUUGGCUUCCAAUUUGGGCUGGAUCCAAACAUCUCCCCCCCAGCCCAUUGGAGGGUAAUCUGAAAUCUUCAAGUUAUCCAUCCCGACAAACUUCUGACCAGCUCCCUCGUAAGAUAGGCCCAAGACGCAUCGAGAUACCUUUGCCCUCUCAUCAAUGGGCAAUUCAAUUCCCACCGAAGUGAAUGCCACUUCCAAAACUGAAGGCCUAUGCACUUCUCACUUAGGUGCCUGCUCCCCCUCACCGGAGAGCGCUGUUGCAAAGUACAUCACUUUGCGAGUCGUAGUGGAUCCCUCUAUCCUCCUUGGGUACACAUCUGAAGAGAUCACUGCCAACAACAAAUCGAGAGCGAAAGAGACUCGUUCGGCAAAAUAGCGCGCCUGGGCGAUGUACAACUCUUCAAAUCAACUUUGUCUCCUUUCCUCUGAGCUUUCUAUGGACAUCCUGCACUAGUCCACUGUCUUGUUCUGAUCAGACUUCUGCACGUGUCUCAAAGCAUUCAUUGGCUCUGUAACCACUCUGGCUCCUCCAAGUGUCCUCUGCGCUUGCUUGUAUGCCUUUGUUGCACCGGUUGCUUCCCUUGUCCAUUCUUCUUUAUAUCUUAUAUCACUGAAAAAAAAAACUCAUGCCGGGACAGCAGCGCUUCCUGCUGGACACUCCCCUCCAGUCAAAUUAUAUCCUCUUUCUUUCUUCCCCUCAUCAUCUUUUGGUGUCCUUUUAAAUUCCUCAGAUUCCUCCCCUUAAAAAAAGCUGCAAUGCUGCAACCCAUUGAAUCGAGCCAUUUCGAUGGAAAUUAAUUUUUUCGUAUUUGGGAACAUGCCUUACUCGGUCAACGUCACAGAACUCCCCGUCUGCCAUGCGGAACCGAUUGGGUUCCUUGCCAACAACUUUAUUUGUCGUGUUGUUCUCCUCCAUGACAAAUCCAUCGCAUGUUGCAUAUGUAGAACAUCUUCCUAAUCUUUACAAAAAUGGUAGCACUUCCUGAAUAAGAACACUACCCAUCUGGAUUCUCAUCGGCCGAGGAUACUAGGAAAGCAUCAUUGUCUGAAUUGUCAUCACACUGAUUUCGAUUCCGAUGCUGAUGCUGUCUCUAAGACUGCAUAUUUGUUUUAAUACUUUGGGCAAUUCCUCCUCUAUGCCCCUCUUGGUUCACAAAAAAAACACUUAACAAACUGCGACCUCUUGUUGUGCCCGCUCGGCCGUCCGCUCCCGUUAUUCCUGUGAUCACAUCGACCUCUUUCCUGCUUAUCGUGUCUGAGAUUAGGACCUGCGACUCACUUCGAUCUGUCAAUGCCCAUCUCUUUUCUUCGUGCAUGCCCUGUCUCUGAGACUGCAUAUGUGUUUUAUACUUUGGGCAAUUCUCCUGAUAUGCCCCUCUUGGUCACGAAAAAAAUACUAAAACUGCGACUCUUGAUUGUGACCUCGGCCCUCCUCUCCCGUUAUUCCUGUGAUGACUCGACUCUUUCCUGCUUUCGUCUGAUAUAGGACCUGCGACUCACGUCGACUGUCAAUGCCCAUCUCUUUCUUUCGUGCCCUUCAUUGAAUAUGGCAUCUUUGACUGUACUCAUAGUCAACUUUCAUCACGCGAAAUUGCUGAUGAGAAAACCACGCAAUGUCUCCCAACUCUCUGGUAAAGAACUCAAAAGCAGUAGAGCUUGCAUCCAAGCGUCAAAAUGGAGGUCCAAUACUUGCCAACUGGUUGAACCAAAUUCUUAAACUCACUCGUAUGUGUUCCGUCACAGUCUCCUCUCUGAGUUUCAGGUUCACAAGUCUCCUCAGCAAUAAGGCCUUAUUCCGAGAUGUCUUCGCUGGUACCUCUUCUCCAAUUUUGGUCAUACCUCGUAAGCACUCGUCUCUUAUGCUACAUGUGGAACACUUCGUUCCAAUACACGGUCCGGAUUAGCCCGAUUAUUUUCCUAUUCAUCUUUGUCCAUUCCUCAUCCUCUUCUCUAUAGGGUUUCGGCUCCUUUAUUCUCCAAGGAUCGUACCAACUCUUUACAGAAUAGAAUGUCUUCCAUCUUUGGUUUUUCGUUAUAGGCGUAAAUUUGUAGCUAAAAGCAUAAUCAUAGCUCCCCAAAUUAUUCUCUUCAUCUUACUUCUCUCAACUAGAGUAAAAUUUCAAAAACCAACCCCGCGGAUGAAUCCGGAAUGCCGAGAAAAUUUAAAAAGGGCUUUUCCGUGGAAAUCAGACUCUUCUAGGACUCAAAUUGAUUAAAUCAGAACUUCAGGGACUAAAUUGUAAUUUUCCAAAAAUCAAGGACCAAUCUGUAAUUAACAAAAAGUCUAGGGACUAAAAGUGCAAUUUUUAGUUUUUGGUCUUGGGCAACGGGCAAUAGUUGACUGGUCAACGCUCGGUCAACAACUCAGUUGACCGGUCAAUGCGCGCGGAUCGGAUCGGAGCGGAGCGAAGCGGCUCACUCGCGGCGCAGAUCAACUCACGCGCGGAUUGUCUCGGCUGGCGUGGGCGCGUGGCCUGCGAGUUGUCGCCACUCGCUGGCGCAUGAAGACUCGUGGGCGCGCGAGAGCGCGUGAAGACUCGUGGGCGCGCGUGCAAGUGCGUGGGAUCCGUCUCUUGGCGCGUGUAGGCGCAUGGGUCAAUUCUAAGGCGCGUGGGGGCACGUGGCGCGUGGAAGGCACUCGUCUUCUUCCUCUGGAGCGCGUGGGACACGUGGAUCUGACGCAUCGAACUCCAGGCGGCCCGUGAGGGUUCGUUUAAACUCCGAUUUUGACUCCGUUUGAUGCUGAAGCUUCGUCUCGACGAGACGAAUCUGGUGGUGUGCUCAAAUAUCACUUUUGAGUACUUUGAAUUUGGUCAGAAUUCGAAAUCGGCUUCCGAUCGCUGCCGAAAUCUCUCAUGUGACUCGAACUUGGCUCUGAUACCAAUUGGUUGGGCGCAAAGACUAGUCACCAGUCACAUGUAACCAUAUCAAUCACAUACUAAGACAAGAUUUUACGUAGUGCGGCCAACAUGCCUACGUCCAUGAGAGGAACUGAGAAUUCACUAUCUCGGAUGAAUUCAAUGAAUCCAAAGGAGGAGAUCACACUCAACUCACUCAAUCAUCUCAUCUCUCAUCUUGCUCUUUUUCUCUCACCGCCACCGUCUUCUCUCUAUACUCUUUACAGAAUUUAUAUCCUUCUACCCCUCCUCUUCUCUCUCUGGCAACCCUCUCAAGUUAAGGCACAGAAAGAGAGAUGAGCUCCUGGAUGAGCUCAUUCUGCCUCCAUUCUUGACAAUGGAGGAGGGAGGGACCUCCAUUCUGCGACUUUUUUCGUCCGCAUCAACAACUCUCUCUCUACUCUCUUUCUUCUCCCUUUCCAUUUGCAUCUAGAAGGAGAAAAAAAAAAAAAAGGAUAAAUGGGUCUGGGGCCUCUCUAUGGGCUUGGGCUUUCUUCUUGGGCUUGGCUUCCAAUUUGGGCGGAUUCAACAAACAUUGUCUGUAUAACUGGUUUCCUUCGCCCCCCCCCCCCCCCCCUUUGAGAUUAAGAGAGAAGAAUGUGUCUUCAGUCAGUCGGUUGUGGUUCCCAUAAAUAGUGUGGUUAUGGAAUCAUGUGUCGGUGUUGGCAACAGUCACUCCGGCUGUUGAGCCAGUGAAGAGCAGUAAGCAGAUUAUGGGAUUCUGAAGAGAGUAGAAAAAAUGUUGUUUUUGAUCACUAGGCCCACUGUGCAGUUUGAGUUCGGGAUAGGCAAAAAGUCCUUAGAUAGUUAGCCUCGAGAAUGAGGGCCUACUGGGAAGAUUCUGAAGGGAUUUAUGGGGAAAAAUUGGCUCAAUACUAGUUCAGGAAACUGGUAGAAGAUGCUGUUUCCCGGUGGUCACAUCACAGAUUGCUCGAGUGUAACAAGUUUGGAGGUAUGUCUUUGACAGUGGCUGUAAUAUAACUUGUUCAUUGAAAUUCUUUCUACUUGAAAUUUUGGUUAUUUCUUUAUAAUCUGUUGCUGGAUAGUUAUGUUUGCUUUCUUAGCUUACAGAUUGCUCAAUUAAUUCCCUACACUAUUCGACAAAAUAUAAGUGCCAGGAGAUAUAUUGUUCUCCUUGUUUUGCAAACAUGCAAAGUUAAAUUUGUGAAAUACCUGAAGUAGUUCAGGAACUUAACUAUUUGCUUUUGUUGGGCUGGUGUGGAUUAGUAUGUUGACUAGUUUGAUAAUUUUGCAAGGUGACUAACCGAUUUCCGUUGUUCUGGUGUUUAGCCUUUUGCUCAUUUCAAAUAUUUGCUAAUUGCAAACUUGCAAUGUUAUUUGAUUGAGUGUUAGCUAUGGUGUUACCUUUGAAUGAAUUUGGAUGCACGGUAUAAGAAUUUCUAGUUGAACUAACGAUUGUUUAUUUCAUUCAAAAUCCAGAGUCUUGUGUGCUAUUGUAAAUCCAGUAUGGUAUCCUGAAGAAAUCUAGAGGAAGUGUAUAAUGAAGCGAAGGAAAAGAUGGUUGGUGUUAAUUAUUAAAAAGAAUAAAUGGUUGAGGAAAUAUUUUCCCAAACCUUGCUCAGUGGAUGGCAUAAUCACCUUCAUGAGAAGCUUAAUGGUGAGAAUGGGUUAAUGACUAGGUGAUUUGGUAUUUAUAUAUUAAUUUAUUACAAUAAGAAGGUGGACAUGGUUGGGGAAGCUUUGACAUCAUUCUAAUAAGAAUUAUUCAAGAAAGAGAGGGUUAGUAUUUGGGUAAAUUGUCAUAUAAACCUGUUGCACCCCUUACAAUCAUAACUCAUACGAAAUUGUCACCCCUGUACAAAUCGAAAUGGGAAAUAUUCCUUGUCUGACUAUCUGCAUGGUCGUCAUCCCUAGCAAACUGGUGUUAAUAUUUGGUAAUUAUUAGGCAAUUUCUAGGAGAUGCUCAACUAGGGUUUAAGUGGGAAGUUGGAACAUAUUUAGGUGCCUAUGGCUUUAAGAAAUCUAGCUUUGCAUAUUUAUCAAAAAGAAAAAGAAAAGGAAAAAUGGCUUUAAUUCUAGAAGAUUCACAUGGUAUUCAUUUACAGCUUCAUUAAAGUAUGGAGUAAUGAGUAUUUAGGCAGUUAUUGUUAAGCAUUGGGAUUUUAUCAGUUUCCCAUCUUAACGACAUAACAGAUCAACUAAAUUGUGUGUUUUAGGAUGGUUUAAUUAAUUAAAUUUAUCUAGUUUUGGAUAGCCUAUAGUGGUUGGUCUGAAAUUGCAACUUACUGGAGGUAGUUGCAUGCUAUCCUCAACGAUAUGAAACAAUUAUGUGAUAUUUCAAGCAAUGAACUAAAAGAGGACUUGUCAACCUAAAAAGUAAAGAAUAAUAAAACUCAGGCAAUUACCUUAAAGAUUCAGUUUUGUACAUGUUCUGAUGUCUCAGAUGUAUAUAAUAAUAUAAACAUCAGCAACAUCAGUUAUAACAAGUACACAACAGCGGAUUAGAUCGCAUUCCCUUAAUAAAAAGAAAAAUUGAAUCCUGGACUUGGCUGCAUGGAAUUUUUUAUAUGCCUGAUUAUUGUAACGUGCAAUAUAAAGUAGUGUUUUUAAGGGAGAAUGCGCAUGGCUAGGCAUUUUAUCUAUCAUGAGGCGAGGCGUAAGCCUCAUGAGGCGUAAGUAUUUUGAAUUUUAAUUUUUAAUAAAAAUAUUAAAGUAUUCAGAAAUUAAGUG